GAGGAUGAUGAUUACAUAUUUGUCGCCCCAGUCUUAGAUCCCCCUAGCGGAUCUUUGCUGAUUGACAUACUUCUGAAUCUGACUC
rnacentral:snoRNA from 2 species